rnacentral:rRNA from 1 species
GACGAACGCUGGCGGCGUGCUUAACACAUGCAAGUCGAACGAUGAACCCGGAGCUUGCUCCGGUGGAUUAGUGGCGAACGGGUGAGUAACACGUGAGCAACCUGCCCCUGACUCUGGGAUAAGCGCUGGAAACGGCGUCUAAUACUGGAUAUGUCCCGUCACCGCAUGGUGUGCGGGUGGAAAGAUUUUUCGGUUGGGGAUGGGCUCGCGGCCUAUCAGCUUGUUGGUGAGGUAAUGGCUCGCCAAGGCGUCGACGGGUAGCCGGCCUGAGAGGGUGACCGGCCACACUGGGACUGAGACACGGCCCAGACUCCGACGGGAGGCAGCAGUGGGGAAUAUUGCACAAUGGGCGGAAGCCUGAUGCAGCAACGCCGCGUGAAGGAUGACGGCCUUCGGGUUGUAAACCUCUUUUAGCAGGGAAGAAGCGAGAGUGACGGUACCUGAAGAAUAAGCACCGGCUAACUACGUGCCAGCCGCCGCGGUAA